GUUACACGUGAUUUUAUGCUCUUUUAAACAUUUAUAAAUGUGCUGCUUCUUUGUUUUUUACAUAGCCAGCCAGAAGAGCUCACAGCCGCAGUGUGUCUGGUGACCCACGGGGACCAUGACGGAAAUUCAUCUUCCAGAAGGUCCCAGAGCAGCGUCCACACCCCUGAAAAGACCAAGAUGUGAGGUACCUGCUGUUGAUUCCAGCUUCCACCUCAGUGACAGUGCAAGCUCAGUGAACUGUUCAAGGUAAAAAAAUUAAAACAUUUCAGAAUUUUUAAGAUAUUAACAAUUAAAUAAGUAUGUGAUUACAUCAUGACAUCAUGAAGGAGGCUACUGAUUCUGCCCCUGUGACACUUGGUGGUGACGUGUGAGCUGAUUCACCUGGACACUCAGCAAAAUAUGGACUCUGCACCAUGAGGCAGGCACACGUUAAUAUUCUAUAAGAGCACAUAAGCAUGAGGAUGUUCUCACACACCUGUAACCUAUCAGCUCAUCUGGCAGAAUAGAGAGAGAAGAGACAACACCACAUCUCCUGUUCCUGGAAAGCCUUCAGCCUUCCUUCGAUGACUGAGAACCUCCAUCAGCUCUGUCUCCUGUCUGCCUACAAUUAUUAUAAUAAAUAUUGUGUUUGUGACAAGUUUUUUGUG